GGAUUCUCUGCUGGGUUGUGAUUUCUUUGAGGUCCUUGUGAGUUCCCUGACGGGAUGUCUCAGGAUCUCUCUUUCCCCUGAACCCUGGAGGUCUGGGACCCACGGCUCUUCCCCUCGUUCCAGCUGGGAAAUGACAUCAGGUUUUGAAACUGGAAACCCUGCUCAGAUGAAAGAAAACAAAUGAGAUCAGAAUUCUGCAGAACAGCCAGAGACCAGUUCCUCAGAGACGGCAAGGCUAUCACCUGGUUAAAUGGCCAUUCUCCAGCAGGGGGAAGGUGUGAACAAGAAAUUUACAUUCCAUCACAGGGAUGGCUUGAUGCUCAGAUCCACGACAGACAGCCCAUCCCCAUGACUCAGCUGAAAACUGAGCAUGUUUCUAGCACAAAGGAUUGAAUAAUAAGAAGUGGGGGAAAUGCUUGAGACUCUCUCUCCCCUUUUCUCUCUGCUCAUCACAACAACUCCUGAAGAAUUGAAAUUGGGGAGGCAGGGUCCUGGCUAAAAGGAAACUCAGUUUGUCACAGCAUAUAGUGAGCGAAAGACAUUCGCUGUGAAUCUCUUUUAGCUUAAGUUAAAAGUUAGUGUUUUAUCUUUUAUUUCUUUUGUAACCAAGUGUGACAUCUAUGCCUCAUUACUUGUAGUCACUUACAAUCUUUUCUUUCUGUAGUUAAUGAAGUUGUUUCAUUGUUUCAUAUAACUAGCAUGUUUGGAUUAAAGUGUGUGAGAAACUCCACUUGGGCUAACAAGCCUGGUGCAUUCAUUUUCCACUGAUGAAGUGACAGACUUUGUAUGGCCUUGCAUUGUUUAGUAACGUGCCAGGGGGAAAAUCUGGGACAAGCGAAUUUGCAGGUGUUCUCCAGCGGUAGAAUUCAUGAGUGGUUGACUAGCAGCACUCAACACUGUGCGGCUGAGAACGAGUUACGUGCCGCAGACAGUGUGUUAACUGGCCAGGAGUGGCUGUUCCCACAGCAAAGCAGGAUAAAAAGCAGUAUAAAAUGGCCAUCAGCCAGGAUGGGCAGGGAUGGAGUCUCUAGCCUGUUUGCCAGAAGCUGGGAAUGGGGGACAGGGGAUGG